rnacentral:rRNA from 1 species
GACGAACGCUGGCGGCGUGCUUAACACAUGCAAGUCGAACGGAGUGGCGAACGGGUGGGUAACAAGUGGGUGACCUGCCCUGCACUUCGGGAUAAGCCUGGGAAACUGGGUCUAAUACCGGAUAGUGUGGGAUGGGCCCGCGGCCUAUCAGCUUGUUGGUGGGGUAAUGGCCUACCACGGCGGCGACGGGUAGCCGGCCUGGGCGGGUGGACGGGCACAUGGGGACGGCGAGACGGCCCAGAGUCCUACGUGGGGCAGCAGUCGGGAAUAUGGGACAAUGGGCUGAAGCCUGAGGCAGCGGCGCCGGGUGGGGAAUGACGGCCUUCGGGUUGUAAACUCCUUUCACCAUAGACGCGGUAGAUGGAGAAGAAGCACCGGCUAACUACGUGCCAGCAGCCGCGGUAAUAC